GUAUAAAUAAACGCGAAUACAUGGUGUUUGAAAAAUGACUCUGCCUAUGAGGGAGGGGAGGGUUGUUGUACUCACAUACUUUACAUGUACACAGAUUCAUAUAGUAUACAUGUCUUUAACUCUUUUCAUCCAACCUACAAUUUGCAGAGCACAUGAAUUAAGCAUCUUGCAUCACUUAAAUAGCUUUAUCAAAGAAGAAUUAUCACUUUGGCACAACUCACGAACAUAACUGUAAGUCUGUGAGAAUUAAAUCCAUUUAUGUUAUUAAGGUAAAAGAGGGUAAUUAUUUAUAACACAUAGCAUUUUAAAUUUUGGGGCAUACUAUUUCGUGCUUUUGAAGAAGAAUAAUUAUUUGUAGGGCUCGUUAAUUCUUAAUCAUUUUAAAACUGAUAUAUUGGCUUUUUACUGUGAAAUGGGAUUCAAUUUAAUAUGAAACACAAUCAAAACACGUUAUAUCUUAUAGCUUUCUAAAAGUCGUACAAAGCGAUGUACUCAUGUAAAAAAAUUGUAUCAACAUACAUGUAUCUCAUUUGAAUUGAAAAUUCGAUAUGGUUAGACCAACAAUUUUUUAUUUAGAUCAUGUCUAUUUUUAAGGACUAUUGAACCAAUGAUAUCUAACAGAAACAUUUCUAAACAAGUAGAACAGAUGAAAUAUAAUGUUUCUGCGGCAACUGUGCAUCGCAUUCAACAUGUUAGAGGUGCUUUUCGAAAUAACAUACACAAAAGAGGUAAAAGUGGUUCUUAUACUACACGUCGCACAGGGGCUACUGUUGAUGUCGAAUGUAAAGUCCGUAAUAUGGAUACGUUGAUUAAUUCCCUAACACUUAGAGAAAUGGCAACAAUUUGUAAGGUGUCAUUCCAACAGAGUAAUAGCAAACAUUCUUAAAGCUAAAUUGAAAACUCGGGAAAAGGUUCCGAGUUUAUAGGUUCAGUUUGUGAAAAAACGUCCUUGAACACGGCGUCUUAACUGUUGAAAAUGUAAAUGCCGUUGUCACAACAGAUGCUUUGUUUAAUAUGGGCGAUAAUCAUGGUCGACAUCUUGUUUGCCAACUAAUGAGACACACAAACUGAAGCUUGUACAAUGAGUUGUUUUUGCGCCUAGGUUUAUGGUUCUGUGCAAGGGUCACUUACUACGACAAGACAUUUCUAAUUUAGAUAAAGGGGUAAAAGUCUAUACAAACUUUUAACAAAGUUCUAAAAAAGAGAAAUAUUGAGUCGCAGAAGAAAACGUCAAAAACGUCAAAAUUGAAAAUGUGCAGGCUGGAUUUGAAUGAGUCUGUUCUGAAGCCAUGUCUCAAGAAAAAGAUGUUCCGCAACUUUUUCUUGGAACAGAAAUUGAUAUGGUAUCCCAUCAAGACUUGGUCUCUAGUUAUACAGCUAAAGUGACUAUUAAAAUUCUCAACAAACUUAAAGUGAAUUACAUAACACAUAAAGAAUAGAUGCCAAAAAGCCCUAAUGCAUCUCCCAUGGACAUUGGUAUCUGGAGUAUACUGAAGCGAAGUGUUUUUACGUGUUUUAAUGCGGAACCUUCUGCUACAAAAUCGUCAUGUUCUGGAAAAAAACUGUUUAACUAAAAAGGAGUGUAAAACUUUGUUACUUCUGUUUCGUAAAAGCCUUGUUUCGACUUUGAUACUCCUAAAUAGGAGAGAUAGGAUUUUUUUUUAACAUUUUAAUGAAAUUUCUUUUUUCUGGCUGAUAUACCAUAUGGUUUCCGCUUCAAAGGUAAUUGUUUAUUUUCACGCAACUUCUGCUACAAAGAAAUACCACAUAUCUUCACUUCAGUACUUUGAAGUGUCGGUCACACGACUUACCGAAAUACUGAAACACUACCGAAAUACCGGAAUACCUCCGGAAUACCUCCGGAAUACCCGAUCAUAGAUAUAAGAAAGCCAAAAUAUUCAUUAGCCGUUAUACUCCCGAUAUCUUGAUAUUUUAAUGGAGCCGGAAUACUGCGGGUGUUAACAAAAAUAACAUCUGAAGCGAAGGAUACUGAAACGCAAUAGUUAUACACACCCAGUCUUUAAAAGGCUCUCAAAUAAGGAUGGAGCAAAAUUAAAUAGUCAUUCAAAAACCGGACUUUAGAAAACUGGCCAAAAUAUGAACAAUGGUUUACUUUCGACAUGGAUCAGGCUGCAAUAAAACAAUGCGAAUAAAUAAUUGAAAAGAGAAAUAAAAACGCACUUUGUGUUAUAAAUCCCUUUUACGUGCUGGUUACCUAUUGAUAAUUGAAAUAAAACAUUUUCCGGUCUAGUGUAAUCAAUCGGUCGUGUCUUUUAUUUAAAAAAAAAAUAGUUUGAUUACAUUUAAAUCUAGAUAACUUAAACAAAAUUUGCAUUCGGGAGUAUAUUUCUCCGCCUGUGCGCUGCUCAAAUAUUAUUAAUAUAUCGCUUAUUAUUCUGAUCAUUCUAAAUGUUUGGUUUUCUUAGUCUGGUGUUAGCUCUUAAAAGUAAAGAUAAAAAACUUGAAAUUGACAUUUUAGGAUUUAAAUGAUAUUACUGAUGUAACACAAUGAAAAAUGAACGUCAUAGCUGUUUUAAAAUGAACAAAUGACAUAUCACAAAGCAUCGUAAAGAUACUAAGAAAACAAUCCUGCAAAACAGGCUACGACAGGACCCUCGAAAAGCGCUGUACAUUAACUAAAAGGAGAGUAAUCAAAACCGUAUUGAUAUGCUUUUUUGGAUUUUUCGCAAAUUUAAUGUGCCUAUGUUAUGUGCAUAUAAAUUGACAAUUCUAAUAUAAUAUAAGUGUUUAUAAUACUUUUAGAAAUUCAAGUUGACGGGGCAUCAAACACCUGAUUCUUCGAGAUAUUCCAGUAGAAUUACAAGUCAAAUUCAUCAUAAAUUCACGUGGCACGAAACACCUGAUUCUUCGAGAUAUUCCAGUAGAAGUACAAGUCAAUAUUAUCAGUUGCCCUGGCACCGAACAUCUGAUUCGUCGGAAAACAUGUUUUCCAGUAGAAAUACAGGACAACAAG